rnacentral:rRNA from 1 species
AAAUGGGAGUAGACAACAGGGAUUGCCCCAGUAACGGCGAGUGAAGCGGCAACAGCUCAAAUUUGAAAUCUGGCUCCUAGAGCCCGAGUUGUAAUUUGUAGAGGAUGCUUUUGAUGCGGUGCCUUCCGAGUUCCCUGGAACGGGACGCCAUAGAGGGUGAGAGCCCCGUCUGGUCGGAUGCCAAAUCUCUGUAAAGCUCCUUCGACGAGUCGAGUAGUUUGGGAAUGCUGCUCAAAAUGGGAGGUAUAUGUCUUCUAAAGCUAAAUACCGGCCAGAGACCGAUAGCGCACAAGUAGAGUGAUCGAAAGAUGAAAAGCACUUUGAAAAGAGGGUUAAAUAGUACGUGAAAUUGUUGAAAGGGAAGCGCCUAUGACCAGACUUGGGCCCGGUGAAUCAUCCAGCGUUCUCGCUGGUGCACUUUGCCGGGCACAGGCCAGCAUCAGUUUGUCUUGGGGGAAAAAGGCUUUGGGAACGUGGCUCCUUCGGGAGUGUUAUAGACCAUUGCAUAAUACCCUGAGAUGGACUGAGGUUCGCGCAUCUGCAAGGAUGCUGGCGUAAUGGUCAUCAGCGACCCGUCUUGAAACACGGACCAAGGAGUCGUCUUCGUAUGCGAGUGUUCGGGUGUAAAACCCCUACGCGUAAUGAAAGUGAACGCAGGUGAGAGCUUCGGCGCAUCAUCGACCGAUCCUGAUGUUCUCGGAUGGAUUUGAGUAAGAGCAUACGGGGCCGGACCCGAAAGAAGGUGAACUAUUCCUGUAUAGGGUGAAGCCAGAGGAAACUCUGGUGGAGGCUCGCAGCGGUUCUGACGUGCGAAUCGAUCGUCAAAUAUGGGAAUGGGGGCGAAAGACUAAUCGAACCUUCUAGUAGCUGGUUUCCGCCGAAGUCUCCCUCUCAGGAAA